CAGCUGUACUGAAAAAUCACUAUUUGGAAUUAAAACUAUUUUCCUUGGUGGCACACUUCAAGAGUCUGGUUCUUUUGUUGGCAAAAGUUUCUUGUACGUGAACAUGUAAUCCUAGGACAUGCAGGAACUAUCAGCUAAUAACCUCUGUGUCUCCAAAGUGAAGGGGCUUGAAAGAAAAUGAGGAAUCCUGGAAAUCUGGGUUCUAAAAGGAAGGGGUGCUGCUACCGUCACUACCAUCACCAUGGGCUUCACCUUGGUGAGCAGUGGGUCCAUCCUGGCUCUGACAGACAUGGGAGAAGCUUCUGGCAGCUUCUCACAGAGACCGCCCCUGUACCACUCCUGCUACCAAAACUGGGCCACACAAACUGAAUACAUAGUGCCAGAAGCCAGGAAACAUAUUGCUGCUGCUGUACUUGUUAUAUACUAAAAUCAAAACAGCUUCAGAAAUAUAGCAUCAAGUUUUGUUUUUCCUAAUCAAUUCCACUUCCUCCAAGUUUUGAGAGUAAGGAAAUGGUUCUAUCUUUAUUGUGCCAAAUGUUCAUGGCAAGGGAUGGAAAGGACAUGAGAAUGCUGAGCUUUUGUUUUAAGUGUCAACCUAAUGCUACCUCGGGGAAAAUAUUUUGAAACUACCCUUGAAGUUACCUUGAUGGAUUAGAAUUGUAACAAGAAGAAAGUUACAUGGGAGAACUGACAGUCUGCUGACCUGCUUUGCUGAAAUAACAACGAUCAGAGAAGCCAUUUUCAGUGGUUAAUUUAAUUUUCUGACAAGUAUGAAUAAGCAUAGAUGUUGAAGGUCAAAUUCUACUAAGAAGGCAUUAUAUACCGCUUGUGUCCAAAGACUCACCAGCAAUUAGAGAUCAAAUUCAUGUCUCUCUCUAAUUGACAACAGUCUCAUACUAAAAACUUCCACUUAUUUUCUAAACUCUGCAGGUAUAGAAUUCAAAGUUAUAGAACCAGUCAUCUAAGUGGAUGAAGAAGUUUGCUGCAUUAUACAGUUACAAUAUCUCUAAAGUGUUGUCGUCUCCCUGGAAUAUAAAUAAAUAUUUUAUCUAUAUUGCUUAACAGCUCCACUAAUAAAAAACUGUUAAAAA